AUGCUCCAUCAGCUGCUCCUCCUCCUCCUGGUAUGCACAAGCUCCAAUUCGUCGAGAUGCUCCGUGGAGGCCCACCAGACUCACAUGACAACGCUGGCCGUCCACAGCCACCACCACAGGCCGUUCACAGCCACCACUCAUGGCCGUCACAAAAAACACCCCAAAGUGCAGACCAUACAUGAGGACAAGGGCGAGGAGGAGGCAGCAGGAAAGAGCUAA
rnacentral:rRNA from 1 species